GCGAGGAAUGAUGUAUUACUAUCGCGCGUUGAAAAUGCUCGCGUUUCUUGAUUCCGCCGCCGAGAUCGACAUCCGC